AUGGAUGGAUUCAUAGAUAAACCAACAAAAUGCAAGCAUAAGGAGAAGUGGAAUCAAUUCUAGUGCUGGCUUCUUGAAGACGCAUGUCUGAAGAGGUAAAUGGGGUCUUUGCUUUCUGCCUCAGUUUCUUCAUCCAUUGAUUGGGUGAAUAAAGCCUUAGUUUCCUCAGCUAAAAGGUGCCAAGUAGCACCAGCUGCUAUCCCUGGCCCAGGCUGGUGAUCAGGGGAGGAGAGACAAGGCUCUUCUUCUUCACAGCCUCUGUCCACCUGGAUCUGCCAGUGCUCCCUGGGUGCCCCCACGGGGCAGGCGCUGGGUGAGGUUCUUGGUCACAAAUCACCUCGUCUAAUGCUUGCCUCAACCCCCUGCCCUGGAGACCACAUCCCUCACGUUCCAGGUCAGGACUGUGGCCCCUCAGGGAGGUUAAGCAGCUUGCUAGAGGUCAGCGACUUCAGCCGAGGGCCUCCACCUCCAGGAGCUGUGCUUCCAGCCAGCCAGUGAGAGCUGCCUGUCCUUGCCUCCCGCUCCCCCUCUCCCUCCUUCCUUAGCAUUUCUUCUCUUCUCCCUCCCUCUCCUUUUCUCCUGCCUGUGUUCUUCUAUCUUCCAUCUCUGCAGACCUUUGGACACAGCUGUGUGGAGCGAGAACGAGGAAGGGGAGGGGCACAGGUAGCCCCUGUGUCUCUGAUGCCCACGUUGCUGCGUUGCUGUUCUGGGCUUCUAGGAGAGGAGUUUAUUCGGCUGAGGAGCAACACAGCCACCUUUCUACUCCAUCCAAGAAACAGCUCCUUCCCCAGCAGCCCACAGGGGCUGUGCGGGGGACACAGUGUGGGCUCGGUCUUGGCGUGGAGGCCCCCAGGCUGUCCUUCACCAUGUGCCUGUUCCCUCAGAUUGCUGAAGGGAUGGCAUACAUUGAGCGCAUGAAUUCCAUCCACCGCGACCUGCGGGCGGCCAACAUCCUGGUGUCUGAGGCCUUGUGCUGUAAAAUUGCUGAUUUUGGCUUGGCUCGAAUCAUCGACAGUGAAUACACGGCCCAAGAGGGGGCCAAGUUCCCCAUCAAGUGGACAGCCCCGGAAGCCAUCCAUUUUGGGGUCUUCACCAUCAAAGCAGACGUGUGGUCGUUUGGAGUCCUCCUGAUGGAAGUUGUCACUUAUGGGCGGGUGCCAUACCCAGGGAUGAGCAACCCCGAGGUCAUCCGCAACCUGGAGCGCGGCUACCGCAUGCCGCGCCCCGACACCUGCCCGCCCGAGCUGUACCGCGGCGUCAUCGCCGAGUGCUGGCGCAGCCGGCCCGAGGAGCGGCCCACCUUCGAGUUCCUGCAGUCGGUGCUGGAGGACUUCUACACGGCCACCGAGCGGCAGUACGAGCUGCAGCCCUAGCCGGCCGCGCCAGCCUGCGCCCCGUGCCCACCUCUGCGCGGACGACCCCGACUUCCGUGCCAGCCCAGAUGGGCCGCGAAGGCGGGGUGUCGCCUGUGCCCUUUUCUCAGACCCGGAAACCAGUGGGCAGAGGCAGCUUCGCAGGGGGUCCCCGGACGGACUCCUUCACCGACUGUAUCCUCGGGCGAGUUACGCGGCCUCUCUGUGCCGCUUCAUUUGUAAAGAGGGCUGUAACAGUGACCUCGCACGGUCAUCCAGAGUACUAAGCCCCAGUAAGGUGUUCAGGACUGGUAAGCGACUGUCAUCAAGUAUGGUCCCCGUGCUGGGCACCCCCCGUGCUGGCCGCGUCCCCGCCUCUGCGCCCUGCGUGGACCCCGCCCUGCCCCGCUGCAGAAGCCAGACUGGGUCCCGCGGACGCCAGCAGGGGCAGCCCCAGCCUAGGCUGCGCUCCAGCACUGCGGGGCUUUUCUGCAAUAAAGUCACGAGCGUUCGA
rnacentral:sRNA from 1 species